rnacentral:rRNA from 1 species
GACGAACGCUGGCGGCGUGCUUAACACAUGCAAGUCGAACGGAAAGGCCCUGCUUUUGUGGGGUGCUCGAGUGGCGAACGGGUGAGUAACACGUGAGUAACCUGCCCUUGACUUUGGGAUAACUUCAGGAAACUGGGGCUAAUACCGGAUAGGAGCUCCUGCUGCAUGGUGGGGGUUGGAAAGUUUCGGCGGUUGGGGCUGGACUCGCGGCUUAUCAGCUUGUUGGUGGGGUAGUGGCUUACCAAGGCUUUGACGGGUAGCCGGCAUGAGAGGGUGACCGGCCACAUUGGGACUGAGAUACGGACCAGACUCCUACGGGAGGCAGCAGUGGGGAAUAUUGCACAAUGGGCGGAAGCCUGAUGCAGCAACGCCGCGUGCGGGAUGACGGCCUUCGGGUUGUAAACCGCUUUCGCCUGUGACGAAGCGUGAGUGACGGUAAUGGGUAAAGAAGCACCGGCUAACUACGUG